GCCCAAUCGGCUCCCCAUCUCUUGUGGCUUGGGCGUGGGCGUGAACCCUAGCCCCCAGUCCACAGCCGCCACACCCCUCCUCCGGUCCUUCCCGCUCCCAAUCUCCUCUCCCACUCCGCCGCCUCCCCGCUCCCCACUCGCCUCAGCCACCUCCUAUGCUCCCUCGCGCCACCGACUCCCUCCCUCCUCCCUCCCUCGUCAUCGCAGCCGACCACCUGCCGUCACUUAGGCCCCCAUGGCGGCUGCCGGGUCGGGGUGGAGGCAAUAGGCCAUGGAGAAUCUGGUGGUGUCUGUGGGUGCAGCAGGGGUAGAUGGAGCGUCGGAUGCGGGCGGGCUCCCACCCUUAGGCUCCACGACGGAGGCCAGUUCAGAGGGCGAAAGCAGAAAGCGGUGGCGUGUCCUACGCUUGUGGGCGGAAGCAGCGAGGUUGGUCGAGCGGUGAUUGUGGCCGGGGUCAGUAGCUGAAGGAGGCUCGCUGACUGGAACAGUAGGAGGAGCGCCUCGAGGAGUCGAAGGGAGAGGUCGUGCAGGCCAGACAAAGGAGAGCAAGGACGAUAAAUAUUCAAUCAGACCUAUGUUUUCUUCUCGAUGCACCUCGGCAUGAGGAGUCGUGCUAGGCAUCCUGGGGUGAUUCAAGAUGCUCAGGUGUACCACACUGCAUGCUACACAGGUCAAUUGUGCAGUGAAAUGAAAGGCCACAAACAACGCUUCUCCGGGAAGUGAAUUUUAUGGUGCCUUGCAUUCUGCUCAUUUGGCGCAAUUGUUCAUCACAAAGAGGAGGGGAGAGGUCUACCCUUGGGAAAUGGGUGCCUCUCCAGUCAAGCGAGCGACGACAAAUCCAACUGGAAAGGGCUCUGUGGUGAUCUUCAUGUUAUCAGUAACUAUACAUGAGUUUCCUUGCUAACAGUUGUUAUCUUUCAACGUUGCAAGUUUAGCCCUAUUUGCAAUACAACAUUCAAGCAAAUAAUUUGUGCUUUAUAUUUUGAAAUGCAUGUGCAGCAUGUUUUUUUCUCUUUUAUCCAAGCUACUAUGCAAAAUUGUAUUGUUUUACGGCCAUUUGGUUCAUAGGAGUGAGCUUUGUAGGACUGGGAUAAUACAUGCAUGUGCAGUAUUAUAGAUACACAGUUAGCUGUCGAACAAUUCUUAUUUGUAGUUCUCUGAAAUAUUACUUCCUUACUUUAAAUUUACCUUCUUUCUUAUCCAUGUACAAGCAAAGGGAUUUAUAGCUGGUGAAGAGCAGCAAGGCAAGGCCAUUGCGCCGGCUGUUGAGCUUGAAAAGUUCGUAUGGAAUAUGCAAAAAAAUAUUUUUUCCGUUAUGUUCUGUUGGAAUUUGUCACAUUUCUUUUGUGAAAGAAUGUGCCAUUGUCUAAUAUAUUUGUCAAACAAAAAAUAGUUGCAUAUACUAGACUGGAUGGUUUGAGAAACUACGGGCACUAUCAAGAGUGUGUUAUAGGAAAUUUGUUUAAUUACAUAUAUCAUAUAUGUUCUGCUCUUAAGAGAUUAGUUUAGUUACAUGUAUAUUCUGCUUUGUGGUGUCACCCCUACAUCUAUUCAUGCAUAAUGAAUUUGGUGGUGUCAUUCUUUAUAUUGCAACAUGUUAAACAAUCUUGUGAUUGUAAUAUUUUUUUGGUGUUGCCAUAAAAUUAGAAACAUUUAUUGAAAUUGUUCAGUGAUGCAAUUUUAUGAUAUUGAGUGCCUUAGCCUUUGGUUGGAUAUAGAGUUUGAAAACAAUAUCUAGGUUGGAGCACACUAUGCUACAUCAAAAAGGACCUACAUAGCUAAUCAAGUAUGUUUGCUAAGAGGUGAACUUAGCAAAAUUGAGGAUGUCAGCUUUUACAUUUUGUCAUGCUUGGCUUAGAUAAGAUGUAUCCAUGCUUUUUUGUGUUUGUACCAAAGCUUCCUUGCCUUUAGAGGAUUUUGUGCAAGCUUUGCAUUUUCUUUGCCUGAGGCUACAAAUGCAUAUUUUCAUUUGUUCUGGUAGUUUUAUUACCUUCGGAACAGUCACAUGCAUGAGGCAGUGAGUUUGGACAAGGUGGAGCAGCGUCGACUGUCACACACACUAAUGGAGAUUGGGAUGUCUACCUUCCUAUUGACGAUCUUAUAAUUCAUCUGCUAACUGACAUAUUUUAGCCAUAUAAUUUCUGGUGACUGGAAGUCUAAAACUGAAGAUAGGGCAGAUUGUUUUGAUUAUGAUUACUUGGAGAUCUCGUGGCUUGCUGUCCAUGGAUCAGUCAGACCUACGGCAACAUCAACUCAUUGAUUCUAGAGGCCAUGGUUCUCGAGGUGAACUCUGAAUCUCUGAUGCAAUUGCAGUGGAGGCUAGAGCCUGCCAAGUGAUGCAGAAGAUGAAACCAUAUAGUGCAACUGACUUUUCAGAUUAUUUAUUUCCUCCUAACAACAUGUCAUAAAUGUGGUGCUGGGCAAACAGAAGAGAUGUUGUACAGAGUGACUCCAUAACUGAAGAGUAGACAAACAUUGUGCAAGGCAUUUUUGUUCAGUUCCUUUCAAAAAUGAAGGAAUUACAGUGCAUCUGACCUGUAAAGGAGUGUGACGGACAAAAUGCUAUGAAUCAGAGGAGUGGGAGGGAAGAGUUUACCAACAACUUUUGAAGGGACAAAGUGUGACCUGGAUUCGAGAAACAAAAUGUGACCUGGAUUCCUAAGUUAUAGCCAACGUAGCAAAAUUGUAUAGAGAAUGCCCGCAUUUUGGAAACUCUACAUAGUUUGAGGCUAUGUUCCUUUCAAUUUUCAGCAUUAUUAAAAAAAUUCUUAUUGUUGCUA